UCAAUAAUUUAUCGUAUGUUUCAAGUUCCGGAACCGAAUAGUGAUGAAGAAGGCUUGCAACAUCAAUUUAAGGUUGAAACACGUUCAAAUGUCGGCAAAUUCAUAUCACCAAGAAUCACUAGAUCAAAACAGAAUUUCCGAUAAAGGUCACUGGGGCGUAAUACAUCAUAUUUUUCAUGUAAACAUUUCAUCGAAUCAGGUUUCAACAUAAAUUCCAAUUCAAAAAUAAAAUUAUCAAGAGGA